UGGACAUUAAAAGUGUUGUACU
rnacentral:snRNA from 1 species